rnacentral:rRNA from 1 species
GUAUUUUGACUAUACAAAGGUAUUGUAAUAAGACUUUAAUUGAGUGCUAAGAGAAUGGAUUUUCAAAAAAAUUCUUUUUUAAGUUUAAAAAUUAAAGUUAUUUUUAUUUGUGAAGAAACAAUAAUAAAAAUUAAAGACAAGAAGACCCUAUGAAUUUUUAUAAACUUUAAUAUUUAAUUAAAUAUUAAAGUUUAUUUAAUUGGGGCGAUUGAGAAAGAUAAAAAACCUUUUUUUAUUUAAAGAGAUCCAUUAUUAAUGAUUUUAUGUAAAAAAUACUCUAGGGAUAACAGCGUAAUAA